rnacentral:tRNA from 1 species
CUGGGUGUAGCUCAGUGGCCAGAGUUCUCGGUUUGGAACCGAGGUGCCGAAAGUUCGAAUCUUUCCACCCAGACCA